rnacentral:rRNA from 1 species
CUGACCGUAAACUAUGCCAUCUAACGAGUCGGUAUUGGUUAUUAAUUGCCAUUUUGACGAGUUACCCGGAAACGAAAGUCUUUCGGUUCCGGGGGGAGUAUGGUUGCAAAACUGAAACUUAAAGGGAUUGACGGAAAGUCACCACCAGAAAUGGAGCCUGCGGCUUAAUUUGACUCAACACGGGAAAACUCACCCGGUCUAGACACUAAAAUGAAUGACAGACUGAUAUAUCUCUCAAGAUAUAGUGCAAAGUGGUGCAUGGCCGUUCUUAGUUCGUGGAGUAAUCUGUCUGGUUAAUUUCGAUAACGAACGAGACUAGAACAUAGUUAAUUGUAUGUAAUAUUAUUAUUUUAUUACAUGGUGAUAAAUGGAUAUGCAAAUUAAAUUGCCUGAAAACUGGCAAUAACAGGUCUGUUAUGCCCUUAGUUGUCCGGGGCCGCACGCGCGCUACAAUGGAAAUUGCAGUGCGUAUAUACUAUAUCGAAAGAUAUGGUUAAACGUGUCAAAUUAUUCCGCAUUCGGGAUCGGAGACUGUAAUUGUUUCCGUGAACGAGGAACUUCAAGUAAGUGUGUGUCAUUAGCGCACGCUG